rnacentral:siRNA from 1 species
AUUACCCGAUACUAUAUUUUU